GAAAUGCGAUAAGUAAUGUGAAUUGCAGAAUUCAGUGAAUCAUCGAAUCUUUGAACGCACAUUGCGCCCGCCAGUAUUCUGGCGGGCAUGCCUGUCCGAGCGUCAUUUCAAACAUCAAGCCCCCGGGCUUGUGUUGGGGACCUGCGGCUGCCCGCAGGCCCUGAAAACCAGUGGCGGGCUCGCUGUCACACCGAGCGUAGUAGCAAUCACCUCGCUCAGGGCGUGCUGCGGGUUCCGGCCGUUAAACAGCCUUACAAAACCCAAGGUUGACCUCGGAUCAGGUAGGAAGACCCGCUGAACUUAAGC
rnacentral:misc_RNA from 1 species